rnacentral:rRNA from 1 species
AGCGAACGCUGGCGGCAGGCCUAACACAUGCAAGUCGAACGGAUCCUUCGGGAUUAGUGGCGGACGGGUGAGUAACACGUGGGAACGUGCCCUUUGGUUCGGAACAACUCAGGGAAACUUGAGCUAAUACCGGAUGUGCCCUUCGGGGGAAAGAUUUAUCGCCAUUGGAGCGGCCCGCGUCUGAUUAGCUAGUUGGCGAGGUAACGGCCCACCAAGGCGACGAUCAGUAGCUGGUCUGAGAGGAUGAUCAGCCACACUGGGACUGAGACACGGCCCAGACUCCUACGGGAGGCAGCAGUGGGGAAUCUUGCGCAAUGGGCGAAAGCCUGACGCAGCCAUGCCGCGUGAAUGAUGAAGGUCUUAGGAUUGUAAAAUUCUUUCAGCGGGGACGAUAAUGACGGUACCCGCAGAAGAAGCUCCGGCUAACUUCGUG